rnacentral:rRNA from 1 species
AUACGGAGGAUGCAAGCGUUAUCCGGAUUUAUUGGGUUUAAAGGGUGCGCAGGCGGCGCGUUAAGUCAGCGGUGAAAUCUCAUGGCUCAACCAUGGAACUGCCGUUGAUACUGGCGUGCUCGAGUACGGACGGCGCCGGCGGAAUGUGUCAUGUAGCGGUGAAAUGCUUAGAUAUGCCACAGAACACCGAUCGCGAAGGCAGCUGGCGAGGCCGGUACUGACGCUCAGGCACGAAAGCGGGGGGAUCAAACAGGAUUAGAUACCCUGGUAGUCCACGCCGUAAACGAUGAUGACUCGUUGCCGGGCGGCGACGUUCGGCGGCCAAGCGAAAGCGAUAAGUCAUCCACCUGGGGAGUACGAUCGCAAGGUUGAAACUUAAAGGAAUUGACGGGG